AGUGAACGCUGGCGGUAGGCCUAACACAUGCAAGUCGAACGGCAGCACAGUAAGAGCUUGCUCUUACGGGUGGCGAGUGGCGGACGGGUGAGGAAUACAUCGGAAUCUACUUUUUUGUGGGGGAUAACGUAGGGAAACUUACGCUAAUACCGCAUACGACCUACGGGUGAAAGCAGGGGAUCUUCGGACCUUGCGCGAUUGAAUGAGCCGAUGUCGGAUUAGCUAGUUGGCGGGGUAAAGGCCCACCAAGGCGACGAUCCGUAGCUGGCCUGAGAGGAUGAUCAGCCACACUGGAACUGAGACACGGUCCAGACUCCUACGGGAGGCAGCAGUGGGGAAUAUUGGACAAUGGGCGCAAGCCUGAUCCAGCCAUACCGCGUGGGUGAAGAAGGCCUUCGGGUUGUAAAGCCCUUUUGUUGGGAAAGAAAAGCAGCAGGUUAAUACCCCGCUGUUCUGACGGUACCCAAAGAAUAAGCACCGGCUAACUUCGUG
rnacentral:rRNA from 1 species